rnacentral:rRNA from 1 species
CAGCCUGAUGCGCCAUGCCGCGUGUGUGAAGAAGGCCUUCGGGUUGUAAAGCACUUUCAGUCGUGAGGAAGGUGGUGUAGUUAAUAGCUGCAUUAUUUGACGUUAGCGACAGAAGAAGCACCGGCUAACUCCGUGCCAGCAGCCGCGGUAAUACGGAGGGUGCGAGCGUUAAUCGGAAUUACUGGGCGUAAAGCGCAUGCAGGUGGUUUGUUAAGUCAGAUGUGAAAGCCCGGGGCUCAACCUCGGAAUAGCAUUUGAAACUGGCAGACUAGAGUACUGUAGAGGGGGGUAGAAUUUCAGGUGUAGCGGUGAAAUGCGUAGAGAUCUGAAGGAAUACCGGUGGCGAAGGCGGCCCCCUGGACAGAUACUGACACUCAGAUGCGAAAGCGUGGGGAGCAAACAGGAUUAGAUACCCUGGUAGUCCACGCCGUAAACGAUGUCUACUUGGAGGUUGUGGCCUUGAGCCGUGGCUUUCGGAGCUAACGCGUUAAGUAGACCGCCUGGGGAGUACGGUCGCAAGAUUAAAACUCAAAUGAAUUGACGGGGGCCCGCACAAGCGGUGGAGCAUGUGGUUUAAUUCGAUGCAACGCGAAGAACCUUACCUACUCUUGACAUCCAGAGAACUUUCCAGAGAUGGAUUGGUGCCUUCGGGAACUCUGAGACAGGUGCUGCAUGGCUGUCGUCAGCUCGUGUUGUGAAAUGUUGGGUUAAGUCCCGCAACGAGCGCAACCCUUAUCCUUGUUUGCCAGCGAGUAAUGUCGGGAACUCCAGGGAGACUGCCGGUGAUAAACCGGAGGAAGGUGGGGACGACGUCAAGUCAUCAUGGCCCUUACGAGUAGGGCUACACACGUGCUACAAUGGCGCAUACAGAGGGCGGCCAACUUGCGAAAGUGAGCGAAUCCCAAAAAGUGCGUCGUAGUCCGGAUUGGAGUCUGCAACUCGACUCCAUGAAGUCGGAAUCGCUAGUAAUCGUGGAUCAGAAUGCCACGGUGAAUACGUUCCCGGGCCUUGUACACACCGCCCGUCACACCAUGGGGAGUGGGCUGCAAAAGAAGUAGGUAGUUUAACCUUCGGGGGGACGCUUACCACUUUGUGGUUCAUGACUGGGGUGAGUGU